ensembl:lncRNA
UACGCGCGUUUGUGAACAACGGUUUUCAAGCACAGGAAGAGUAAAAUUUCAUCAAAAAUCUCUGAUGAACACCUUGAGAGCUCAAUUGCAGCUGCUGCCAUCGAACUGGCCUGAUGCACCAGCUUCACAAAAACAAGGUCACACAAUUUACACGAACUGAAGAUAUGGACCGUUAUUUCUUCAUGCCUUCUCUAUCAAUGACUCCAGAUGUCUGAGGAACAAGAUGAGCUUUCUCCAGUGAUUUAAAAAGUCUGAGCUCAAUUAUAUCAUGUUUGGAAUGAACUGCAGAACACUUAUGAAAUCACUUAGUCUCCAGCUAAUACUACGGUCCUUAAGUCAAACUGUUUUCAGGCCAGGAGUCAUCUCCUGAGGGACAAAUGCAUUGCAGGUGCUAGAGAGUCAUUCAUCCAGAGGUCUGGAAACAGGAAGAGAACAUAUACUGCAAAUUCUUUUUGUUGCAUGUGAAUAAUACAUUUAAAUUAUCUUUCUUACCCUGGUUUCAAUCUCUUCUUUCAAGGGAAGUACCUAAAAUGUUAUGGAUCUUGUUUAGUAAUGCUGGUGGGAAUAAUAGUUAUAAUGUUCCGGUAUUUCUUGUGGGAAGUGGGACUGAAGGGUGAAUUAUAUGGAAAGCAGAAAUAGGAAAUUAAGCAUUGUGAACGCUGCAGUCAGUGAACCUUGUUAGAAAAGUUAUCCUUUAUCCACUCGUGAUAGAGAAGCCAAAGCAAUGGGCAGUUCAUUCUGCAUUCAGUUUGGUGAAUUACUUUGAGCCAUGAAAUAUGAAAUGUAUCAGCAGCGUAAAAAUGAAAUUUUGAUGUGAAGAAGCAAUCAGUAACAAUAUAUAUGAGCAAAUGUCAUGUUUGUAAGUUUAGGAAGUGUUUGAAUUUGUAAGUUGGAGGUGGUUUGAUCUGUAGAGUUUGAAGCUUUCUUUUUUCCUUAAUGCACAUGAAUUCUAGAUUAUAGCAUACAAAGAGAGAAGAGCAUAUGCAGUACUAUAA